UAAUACGUAGGGCGCAAGCGUUGUCCGGAAUUAUUGGGCGUAAAGAGCUCGUAGGCGGUUUGUCACGUCGGCUGUGAAAACCCGAGGCUCAACCUCGGGCCUGCAGUCGAUACGGGCAGACUAGAGUGCUGUAGGGGAGACUGGAAUUCCUGGUGUAGCGGUGAAAUGCGCAGAUAUCAGGAGGAACACCGGUGGCGAAGGCGGGUCUCUGGGCAGUAACUGACGCUGAGGAGCGAAAGCGUGGGGAGCAAACAGGAUUAGAUACCCUGGUAGUCCACGCCGUAAACGUUGGGCGCUAGGUGUGGGCUGUCUUCCACGCAGUCCGUGCCGCAGCUAACGCAUUAAGCGCCCCGCCUGGGGAGUACGGCCGCAAGGCUA
rnacentral:rRNA from 1 species